GAUGAACGCUGGCGGCGUGCCUAAUACAUGCAAGUCGAGCGAACGGACGAGAAGCUUGCUUUUCUGAUGUUAGCGGCGGACGGGUGAGUAACACGUGGAUAACCUACCUAUAAGACUGGGAUAACUUCGGGAAGCCGGAGCUAAUACCGGAUAAUAUUUUGAACCGCAUGGUUCAAAAGUGAAAGACGGUCUUGCUGUCACUUAUAGAUGGAUCCGCGCUGCAUUAGCUAGUUGGUAAGGUAACGGCUUACCAAGGCAACGAUGCAUAGCCGACCUGAGAGGGUGAUCGGCCACACUGGAACUGAGACACGGUCCAGACUCCUACGGGAGGCAGCAGUAGGGAAUCUUCCGCAAUGGGCGAAAGCCUGACGGAGCAACGCCGCGUGAGUGAUGAAGGUCUUCGGAUCGUAAAACUCUGUUAUUAGGGAAGAACAUAUGUGUAAGUAACUGUGCACAUCUUGACGGUACCUAAUCAGAAAGCCACGGCUAACUACGUG
rnacentral:rRNA from 1 species